CGACGCCGACGCUAAACGCUGCAGACCUGUCGCUGUACUCUGUCCACACCCAGAGAAGGCGCAGCGUCAGGACUGAGCUCUCAUGUGAGGUAGCAGCUGUGGAUGCUCGCGCGCGGGAGUGCCAGGCCGCUGAGUGGACCAAGGGCACCGCCCUGGAAUGAGGGCCUCACCUGUGUCAGAACAUUAAAGAUGCCCAGUAAAUCUCAGUGAGCAUAAGAAGAUGCCAAGAUUCCAGGAGAUCCAUAAUACGAUGCUCUGAUCAUAAUACGAUGACCUUCUCCGCGACCGCCGCACAUGCUCGGGAUGCGUCUCGACUGCCUGGUGCUUCGUGUCCCUCGUUGUUCACGGUGCCAUACGGUAGAGAAUUCCAGUGGAGCAGAAGGCCGCUCCUGAGACUUCAUCUUAGUCAAACAGUAAUAAGUUGGAGGGAGCGGCGGAGGAGGGGCACUCGAGCCCCCCACAUGCCACGGUAUUUAAUUAUCCACAAACCUGCCCUUUAGAGCCUGCAGGAGCCUCAGGGAAAACUGU